AGGGUUUGAUCAUGGCUCAGAACGUACGCUGGCGGCACGCCUAACACAUGCAAGUCGAACGAAGUAGCAAUACUUAGUGGCAGACGGGUGAGUAACAUGUGGGUAUCUGCCCUAUGGCCUGGAAUAACACGAGGAAACUUGUGCUAAUACCGGAUAAGUCUUUACGGAGAAAGCUUUAUGCACCAUUGGAUGAGCCCGCACUUGAUUAGUUUGUUGGUGGGGUAAUGGCCUACCAAGACUGUGAUCAAUAGCUGAUUUGAGAGGAUGAUCAGCCACAUUGGGACUGAGACACGGCCCAAACUCCUACGGGAGGCAGCAGUGGGGAAUCUUGCACAAUGGAGGAAACUCUGAUGCAGCGAUGCCGCGUGAGUGAAGAAGGCCCUUGGGUUGUAAAGCUCUUUCGUCGGGGAAGAAAAUGACUGUACCCGAAUAAGAAGGUCCGGCUAACUUCGUGCCAGCAGCCGCGGUAAUUC
rnacentral:rRNA from 1 species